UACGUAGGGUGCAAGCGUUGUCCGGAAUUAUUGAGCGUAAAGAGCUCGUAGGCGGUUCGUCGCGUCGGCUGUGAAAACCCGGAGCUCAACUCCGGGCCUGCAGUCGAUACGGGCGGACUCGAGUUCGGCAGGGGAGACUGGAAUUCCUGGUGUAGCGGUGAAAUGCGCAGAUAUCAGGAGGAACACCGGUGGCGAAGGCGGGUCUCUGGGCCGAUACUGACGCUGAGGAGCGAGAGCGUGGGGAGCGAACAGG
rnacentral:rRNA from 1 species